CCUACGGGGGACAGCAGUGAGGAAUAUUGGUCAAUGGACGAGAGUCUGAACCAGCCAAGUAGCGUGAAGGAUGACUGCCCUAUGGGUUGUAAACUUCUUUUAUAUGGGAAUAAAAUGUUCCACGUGUGGGAUUUUGUAUGUACCAUAUGACUAAGGAUCGGCUAACUCCGUGCCAGCAGCCGCGGUAAUACGGAGGAUCCGAGCGUUAUCCGGAUUUAUUGGGUUUAAAGGGAGCGUAGGUGGAUUGUUAAGUCAGUUGUGAAAGUUUGCGGCUCAACCGUAAAAUUGCAGUUGAAACUGGCAGUCUUGAGUACAGUAGAGGUGGGCGGAAUUCGUGGUGUAGCGGUGAAAUGCUUAGAUAUCACGAAGAACUCCGAUUGCGAAGGCAGUUCACUGGACUGCAACUGACACUGAGGCUCGAAAGUGUGGGUAUCAAACAGGAUUAGAUACCCUUGUAGUC
rnacentral:rRNA from 1 species